rnacentral:rRNA from 1 species
GCAUAUCAAUAAGCGGAGGAAAAGAAACUAACAAGGAUUCCCCUAGUAACGGCGAGUGAAGAGGGAAGAGCCCAAGAUUGAAAGCUGGCGUCUUUGGCGUCCGCAUUGUAAUCUCAAGAAGUGUUUUCCGCUUCGGACCAUGCCUAAGUCCCUUGGAAAAGGGCAUCAUAGAGGGUGAUAAUCCCGUACAUGGCAUGGAGCGCCCGAAGCUUUGUGAUACACUUUCUAAGAGUCGAGUUGUUUGGGAAUGCAGCUCAAAAUGGGUGGUAAAUGCCAUCUAAGGCUAAAUAUUGGGGAGAGACCGAUAGCGAACAAGUACAGUGAUGGAAAGAUGAAAAGAACUUUGAAAAGAGAGUUAAACAGUACGUGAAAUUGCCAAAAGGGAAGGGUAGGAGGUCAGAGAUGCGGUCUGGGAUUCAGCCUUGCUUUUGCUGGGUGUUUUUCUCAGAUUGCAGGCCAACGUCGGUUUUGGGCGCUGGAGAAGGGUGGAAGGAAUGUGGCACCUCUCGGGGUGUGUUAUAGCCUUCUACUGGAUACAGUGACCGAGACCGAGGACAGCAGCGUACUCGCAAGAGCGGGCCUUCGGGCACCUUUACGCUUAGGGCGUUGGCAUAAUGGCCCUCUACCACCCGUCUUGAAACACGGACCAAGGAGUCUAACAUGUAUGCGAGUCUUUGGGUGGCAAACCCAUAGGCGCAAUGAAAGUGAAUUCAGGUGGGAUCCGCAAGGUGCACCAUCGACCGAUCCUCACGUCUUUUUAAGUCGUGGAUUUGAGUAAGAGCAUACCUGUUGGGACCCGAAAGAUGGUGAACUAUGCCUGAAUAGGGUGAAGCCAGAGGAAACUCUGGUGGAGGCUCGUAGCGGUUCUGACGUGCAAAUCGAUCGUCAAAU